UGAAAGAGAGAACAAAAA
rnacentral:snRNA from 1 species